AAAUGAAUUGACGGGGGCCCGCACAAGCAGCGGAGCGUGUGGUUUAAUUCGAGGCUACACGAAGAACCUUACCCGGGUUUGACAUCACGGUAGUAGCGAGGUGAAAGCUGAGCGACCGCAAGGAGCCGUGACAGGUGCUGCAUGGCUGUCGUCAGCUCGUGUCGUGAGAUGUUCGGUUAAGUCCGAAAACGAGCGCAACCCCCGGGGUCAGUUACACGUGUCUGACCCGACUGCCUGCGAGAAGCAGGAGGAAGGUGGGGAUGACGUCAAGUCAGCAUGGCCUUUAUAUCCGGGGCUACACACACGCUACAAUGGACGGUACAGUGGGUUGCGAGACCGCGAGGUGGAGCCAAUCCCCCAAAGCCGUUCGUAGUUCGGAUUGUAGGCUGCAACUCGCCUGCAUGAAGCCGGAGUUGCUAGUAACCGCGUAUCAGCGAUGGCGCGGUGAAUACGUUCCCGGGCCUUGUACACACCGCCCGU
rnacentral:rRNA from 1 species